rnacentral:rRNA from 1 species
UACGAGGGGGGCAAGCGUUGUUCGGAAUUAUUGGGCGUAAAGGGUGCGUAGGCGGCUAUUUAAGUUUGGUGUGAAAUCUCCCGGCUCAACCGGGAGGGUGCGCCGAAUACUGAGUGGCUAGAGUGCGGGAGAGGAAAGUGGAAUUCCUGGUGUAGCGGUGAAAUGCGUAGAUAUCAGGAGGAACACCGGUGGUGUAAACGGCUUUCUGGACCGUAACUGACGCUGAGGCACGAAAGCGUGGGUAGCAAACAGG